rnacentral:rRNA from 1 species
AUUGAACGCUGGCGGCAGGCCUAACACAUGCAAGUCGAACGCGUGGCGGACGGGUGAGUAAUGUCUGGGAAACUGCCCGAUGGAGGGGGAUAACUACAGGAAACGGUAGCUAUUAUCGCAUACCCACGCAUGUGCACACAAUGGAUUAGCUAGUAGGUGGGGUAACGGCUCACCUAGGCGACUAUACCUAUCUGGUCUGAGAGGAUGACCAGCCACACUGUAACUGAGACACGGUCCAGACGCCUACGGGAGGCAGCAGUGGGGAAUAUUGCACAAUGGGCGCAAGCCUGAUGCAGCCAUGCCGCGUGUAUGAAGAAGGCCUUCGGGUUGUAAAGUACUUUCAGCGAGGAGGCGUUACUCGCAGAAGAAGCACCGGCUAACUCCGUGCCAGCAGCCGCGGUAAUUC